UCGGUCCCUAUCUGCCGUGGGCGCUGGAGAACUGAGGGGGGCUGCUCCUAGUACGAGAGGACCGGAGUGGACGCAUCACUGGUGUUCGGGUUGUCAUGCCAAUGGCACUGCCCGGUAGCUAAAUGCGGAAGAGAUAAGUGCUGAAAGCAUCUAAGCACGAAACUUGCCCCGAGAUGAGUUCUCCCUGAGACUUUAGGUCUCCUGAAGGAACGUUGAAGACGACGACGUUGAUAGGCCGGGUGUGUAAGCGCAGCGAUGCGUUGAGCUAACCGGUACUAAUGAACCGUGAGGCUUAACCUU
rnacentral:rRNA from 2 species